CUGCUGAGACCAUGUGACCUGUGGGCUUCCCUUUGUCAUCCUAUGCCUGGAGAUCACAGUGAGGCAGGGACAGCAAAGGGAUGCUCAGCUGUCGUCUCUUCC
rnacentral:pre_miRNA from 17 species